rnacentral:rRNA from 1 species
UACGUAGGGUGCAAGCGUUGUCCGGAAUUACUGGGCGUAAAGAGUUCGUAGGCGGUUUGUCGCGUCGUUUGUGAAAACCAGCAGCUCAACUGCUGGCUUGCAGGCGAUACGGGCAGACUUGAGUACUGCAGGGGAGACUGGAAUUCCUGGUGUAGCGGUGAAAUGCGCAGAUAUCAGGAGGAACACCGGUGGCGAAGGCGGGUCUCUGGGCAGUAACUGACGCUGAUGCACGAAAGCUAGGGGAGCAAACAGG